rnacentral:lncRNA from 1 species
AUGCUUUGGGGAAACCUAUUGUUUCACCAUUUACUUUUUUUUUUUAACACAGAGGUUUCCGUGGAUGAGUGCCCCCAUUCAAGUGGGCUUAGUUGGCUUCUGUUUGGUAUUCGCAACACCUCUGUGUUGUGCCCUAUUUCCACAGAAAAGUUCCAUGUCUGUAAAACGCCUGGAGCCAGAAAUACAAGCCAAGAUCCAAGAGAUCAACCCUAAACUGGAGCGUGUGUAUUUUAACAAAGGAUUAUAAAUUUGUAGAAGACAAAGUAUCCCUCAGUAACGAUUAGGUGAACUUAUUUUUGAUUGAGAAAAUUUUGGUGAAGACAACUCAGCCCAGAUGAGUUCUUUGAGUUUGACACAAUUUUGAACACAGAAGGUCAUUUCUGUUUCACAAGAGAACUUCCAUAAUUAUGGUAUCAAAUGGCUGUCAAUGCCAUUAGCAACAGCACUCUGUAGGCUUCAGAUUUUUCAGCAGAAAUAAUUCAGAACAGGUUACACUUUUCAAGAAAAGAAAUAUUUAAUUCCUUUGGAAAAUCUCACAGCCACAAGAAAAUUGCACAAUUAUUUUUGUUGCCCAUCUUAAAUUUUUCCCCUACAAAAGAGCCAAAGCCAUCUUUGCUAUUAUAUUUGUACAUAUGGUAACAGUGAUAAUGCUGCGAAGUGAGACCCUCCAAAGUGUGAUUUUGUGACACUGGGUUCAUAUGUUGCCUUAUCUCACUUAUGUAAUGAGUACUGGAGUAUCCCAUGAAAGUUGUCUGAAAUGGGUGAUCAUAGAUCAGGAACCCUGGCUAAAAUUUUCCUGUGCUGUGCAAAGCCCCCCAGAUGGGAGAAGCUUACCAACCGAUAGUGAUAACUAGGAACUAUUCCUGCAACUGACAUUGUAAAUUGGGCCUUGAAGCCUAUCCAAAUGUUGAACAAGGUAUAUGGUACAGUCCUCUCAGGACUAUGCUACCUCAUCAUGUGUGCUGCACAUGAGGGUUUUUGUGUUUGAGUGUCUCUUCAUCUUAACAUUGCUCUGCAUAUGUAAAGCUAGCACGCUUUAGUGACUGCACAAGCGCAGGAGAAUGUCGCCCACUUCACCAUUUUGGUUGGCUCUCAUUCAUGGUGCUUGACAUUCUAUGACGAUCGGCAGGAUGCUACCAGGACUUUCAGUAUUUGCCAAAUCUUAUUGGUGUUGCCUAACUUUAGGGAUAUGUGCAUUAGCAAAAAACAAGUUUGCUACAGUUCUCUGAAUACCAUCAUGAAGUUCAUUCUGACUCAAGCCCUUAUCAGAUUGCAAGCUUUGCUUCUUUUUUUCUUUUCACCUGAACAGCCACACACAUUUUGUGCAUAUUUUUCCAAAUGUACACAUCAAUUGUGCACAUCUUUGAAAUGUAUGCCUUCUUUUCUCAUUGAUUAGAGCAUUUAAAGUGUGCAUUUUUCAAAAGUAGGCAAUCCAUUGUGUACAUUUUUGAAUGUAUGCACACUGUUGAACACAAUUUAAAUCAUACUGCAAGCUCAGAAAAGUAUGGACUUUGACCACAGAUUACAUCCAAGUCUGCGCUGAGUGCAAACUGGAUAAAUUGUGAUUUUAAAAAAAGGACUGUAAUGUUUUUUUCAUGCAUUCCUACCUAAUUAGUGUCAGUGGCCAAAUUCUGCAAAAAUUCAGGGUACUGAAUGCAAUACUGAAUUCAAUAAUGAAUUGCAGUUGUGUUGCCUGUAACGUUUUCCCAGAAAUGGGAAAAUACUAGUUUAGAUUCUGGCCUUAUUUUCUCAUAUCAAACAACCAUCAGACUUCAUAGGAUGGUCUUGAGACAGUUGUUUAAAUCCAACUGCACAAAAUAUUAUGCUGCUAAAUGCUCUUACAGGAGUGCCCUGUGUGGAGUUCUGUAUAAAGGUUCUGUUAAACAUUAGCAACUGAUGGUCAACAGUUUCAUUCCCUAAGAAGCACAGACAAGGCAUGGCUCUUCUAAUCAACUGCUUCUUUAUUUAAGACAGCCUUCCCCAAACUGGUGCCCUUCAAAGGAGAUAAAUCCAAAAAUAAAUAAAAUAAAUAAAAAAUGUUUCAACUCCCAUCAGCACCAACCAAUAUAGCUAAUGGACAGGAAAACUGAGAGUUGUCGAGAGUUGUCAUCCAAAACAUCUGGAGGCUGGGGAAGGCUGUGCUCUGUUGUCAUUCAUACACUGAUCCUUUGAAGCAAGGUGCUAUUAUUUGCCAUUGUACAGAAACCAGGCCAUGCAGUGAUGACUUGCUCAGAAAGCCACCUUGCGAGGCUGCUUGAGGGUUUGAGCCCAAGCUCCAAUACUUCGUCCAAUGAGUCACACUGGGUCUUUCUGCACAGCUCACGAGGGAGUUAUUUCUAUUAACAUUCCGUUCUAAUUUCAGUGUUUCUGAUACACACGCACUAUUGGUGCUUACCAUUUAAUGUACAAUACCCCAAAUGUAAUAUCACAGUGUGCCGUUAUUUCCCAGGACACAGAUGUAGAAGCCCUUUGUACUGCCAUGAAUAGAUCUAGCUAUGUACUCAAUGAAGUUGUUCCCCACUGUAAACCUUGAACAUUAUUACAUGCUCAAAAUAAUAUACACAAUCAGUGUUGUCCACACUGUCUGCUGGUAAUUUAGAGCAUAGCGUAUAUCCAGAGAUGCUAGACACAAUGUAGAAGCCCAGGUUGUUCAGGAUUCUAGUGCCAGAGUGAAAUACGCCCUCCAACAGUGGCUUGUUUACUGGCAGGCAGAGCUCAACCUUGAACUGAAAGGAGACGUAGUGCUCAUGCUUGAUCUGAACGUUUGCUUUGAAAGUCCGCCGCUCAGUGCGACUUGCAGAGCAAGUCAGUGAUUUUCAGUGUUCCAGGAAGUCCCA